rnacentral:rRNA from 1 species
GGGGAAUAUUGGACAAUGGGCGCAAGCCUGAUCCAGCCAUGCCGCGUGAGUGAUGAAGGCCCUAGGGUUGUAAAGCUCUUUCAACGGUGAAGAUAAUGACGGUAACCGUAGAAGAAGCCCCGGCUAACUUCGUGCCAGCAGCCGCGGUAAUACGCAGGGGGCUAGCGUUGUUCGGAAUUACUGGGCGUAAAGCGCACGUAGGCGGAUCGGUCAGUUAGGGGUGAAAUCCCAGGGUGCAACCCUGGAACUGCCUUUAAUACUGCCGAUCUGGAGUCCGGAAGAGGUGAGUGGAAUUCCGAGUGUAGAGGUGAAAUUCGUAGAUAUUCGGAGGAACACCAGUGCCGAAGGCGGCUCACUGGUCCGGUACUGACGCUGAGGUGCGAAAGCGUGGGGA